rnacentral:rRNA from 1 species
CUAACACAUGCAAGUCGAACGGCAGCACAGAGGAGCUUGCUCCUGUGCGGUGGCGAGUGGCGGACGGGUGAGUGAAUACAUCGGAAUCUACUCUGUCGUGGGGGAUAACGUAGGGAAACUUACGCUAAUACCGCAUACGACCUACGGGUGAAAGCAGGGGACCUUCGGGCCUUGCGCGAUUGAAUGAGCCGAUGUCGGAUUAGCUAGUUGGCGGGGUAAAGGCCCACCAAGGCGACGAUCCGUAGCUGGUCUGAGAGGAUGAUCAGCCACACUGGAACUGAGACACGGUCCAGACUCCUACGGGAGGCAGCAGUGGGGAAUAUUGGACAAUGGGCGCAAGCCUGAUCCAGCCAUACCGCGUGGGUGAAGAAGGCCUUCGGGUUGUAAAGCCCUUUUGUUGGGAAAGAAAUCCAGCUGGCUAAUACCCGGUUGGGAUGACGGUACCCAAAGAAUAAGCACCGGCUAACUUCGUGCCAGCAGCCGCGGUAAUACGAAGGGUGCAAGCGUUACUCGGAAUUACUGGGCGUAAAGCGUGCGUAGGUGGUCGUUUAAGUCCGUUGUGAAAGCCCUGGGCUCAACACUGGGAACUGCAGCUGGAUACUGGGCGACUAGAGUGUGGUAGAGGGUAGCGGAAUUCCUGGUG